rnacentral:rRNA from 1 species
CGUAGGGUGCGAGCGUUAAUCGGAAUUACUGGGCGUAAAGCGUGCGCAGGCGGUUUUGUAAGACAGAUGUGAAAUCCCCGGGCUCAACCUGGGACCUGCAUUUGUGACUGCAAGGCUAGAGUACGGUAGAGGGGGAUGGAAUUCCGCGUGUAGCAGUGAAAUGCGUAGGUAUGCGGAGGAACACCGAUGGCGAAGGCAAUCCCCUGGACCUGUACUGACGCUCAUGCACGAAAGCGUGGGGAGCAAACAGGAUUAGAUACCCUGGUAGUCCACGCCCUAAACGAUGUCAACUGGUUGUUGGGUCUUUACUGACUCAGUAACGAAGCUAACGCGUGAAGUUGACCGCCUGGGGAGUACGGCCGCAAGGUUG